AACUAAAAUAAAUUUAUGCUGAAGAAUCGCUUUCAAAAUGAAGUUCUCCCUGCUAAUCAUCUUUUCGAUUGUGCUUUUGGCACUAAACUUGAAUGUUUGCUCGACCGAAGACAUCGCUGGACCCCCUGUCGUAUUCACUAAACGGUUUUUUAAAACGUGUGAAAGGCUCCCCGGGAAUCUCCGGGGAUGUCCCCCCCGUACAAUAUGAACAACAUUAGAUUGAAUGCUAGAACAGUGGCCAACAGUAGAACAGUAGCAA